UUUUCUAGGAAUUUUUCCAUUUCAUCAACAUUGUCCAGCUUGUUGGCAUAUAGCUGUUCAUAUGUAUUUUCUUACAAUCCUUUGUAUGUCUGUGG